UUUUACUUCUUUUUCAGAUUCUCAAAAAUCUAUUUGGAAUCUCAAAGUCAAGUAAUGGUGUAAAGGAAGAUCCAGAAGUAAAAGUUGAAGUGGGAGCCAGUCAGAACAAUGUAUUUAUGUAAAUGCUAUAGUAGAUGCUGGGUGAAAAAUUGAUUCUCGUGGAUCUAGCUGGAACCUCUAAGUUCAAGUAAUGGUGUAAAGGACGAUCCAGAAGUAAAAAACUGAAAUGGGCCGAAUGAGAAUAAUUUGAAUAUUUAUGUAAAGCUGGAGCACAUGCAGGGUGAAGAAGACGUAUCUGGUUAACUUUGAAACUAAAUGCGUACAGUAAGUUUGGUUAGUUAAUAUGGAUGCAACGUGAAAUGUGAAGUGAUUUCCAGAUGCUAUUAAGUUUUUGCUAACACUUACCCAUGUGAAACGAUUUCUUUCAGCCCAUUUGUAGAUAUUAAUUAUCUGUUAUUGUAGGCAGUCUGGAUACUUGUAUCCAAUCUGGAAUAUGACUGUGGGAUACAUACCCAUUCGUCAUACCAUUAGCUGUUAAGUAAUCUUAAUGAGACAAUAUUCAUCUCGAUCAUAGGCAGAAAUGUAUAUUUAAGAGUGCAAAUGUAACCUUGACUUUUUGGUAUGACUGGUGUUACACACCCAAUCACACUUAUAUUAAAUGUUAUUCGUAAGCACAAA